UAAUAGAUAUAAAUAUAAAAUUUACUUAAUCAAAUUCUAAAUUUAACACACUAAUCUGCCAAUCUAUUUU